rnacentral:sRNA from 1 species
AAAGCACAGACUUCCUGUUUUGCCUGCUAGCAUCUCCCUGUAACUCUCCCAAUCUUGAGGAGUGAUCCCUGUCCCAGCCCCCGGAAAGGGGCAGGAACGACAAACUCAAAGUCCAGGAAUCUCUGGAAGCCUGUAGAAAUUUGAUCCCUGUAUCCAGAGUGGUGCACAACAUUCUCACCCAACUGGAGAGGACUUUUAACCUGUCUCUUCUGGUGACAUUGUUCAGUCAAAUUAACCUGCGUGAAUAUCCCAAUCUGGUGACGAUUUACAGAAGCUUCAAACGUGUUGGUGCUUCCUAUGAACGGCAGAGCAGAGACACACCAAUCCUACUUGAAGUCCCAACUGGCCUAGCAGAAGGAAGCUCCCUCCAUACCCCACUGGCGCUGCCCCCACCACAACCCCCUCAACCAAGCUGUUCACCCUGUGCGCCAAGAGUCAGUGAGCCUGGAACAUCCUCGCAGCAAAGCGAUGAGAUCCUGAGUGAGUCGCCCAGCCCAUCUGACCCUGUCCUGCCUCUCCCUGCACUCAUCCAGGAAGGAAGAAGCACUUCAGUGACCAAUGACAAGU